GCUGGCGUAGCUCAAUUGGUAGAGCAGCUGAUUUGUAAUCAGCAGGUUGUAGGUUCAAUUCCUAUCGCCAGCU
rnacentral:tRNA from 1 species